rnacentral:tRNA from 1 species
GGUCGCAUAGCUCAGCUGGUUAGAGCGCGCGCCUCACAUGCGCGAGGUCGUAGGUUCAAGUCCUACUGCGACCACCA